rnacentral:misc_RNA from 1 species
GGUGGCCACCACACACUGAAAAAUACGACUUGAUACUGAGGGCUCUACCAGUCUCUAAACUACAUAAAGACUCCCUGACGAGUAUUUGCUACCGUCACAAAAUUCUAUAAAUAAAAAGAUAGAUUGGAGAAGAACACAGGGAAUUCUAUCAUUGGUUUUUUGCUCUAUCCUGCGCAAUACUUGCAUGCCAUGUUGUCUUUUUCAAGAAAGACUAGAUGGUAUCUCUUGAACCAUUAGUCUAGCCUCGUAUAGUUUACGGGGGGAACAGAAAGUUGCAGUCAACAGUGAUGCUGAAACGGAAUCAUGUCAUUAGUUACCUGUCAGACAUAUAUCAGACUUUGAAUAGCCUGAACAUCUUGAAGUGCAAGGCCGUCUGUUAAUACACUCAACUUUACUUUGGGCAGCCUGACCUCGGAAAUGUGACGUAGCUAUGAUAGGCAUCAAGUUAUUUUUUCAUCGCUGCAGGGUUAUCUACAGCAAACAAUCUACUAGAGGUCCUUCUAAAGAAAGACGCCGUGAAAGCAUGCGAGUCUGGAGUGACACUGGGCUCGGUCGAAGAUGCGUCCGAAGGGUUGACUGGUCCUCUCCUUCAAAUAUGAAGUUCCUUUCACUUCUCUGUCUUUUGCACAUAUGUUAUUUAAAGGAACGCUUUCCAUUGGCAACGAUUCCAAAACUCGGUCAGGUGCGUGGGUCGAAAAUGACCUCUGUGUCCGGCAGAAUGUUCUACGCGUUUCGCGGUAUUCCGUACGCACAACCUCCGGUCGGAGAGCUCCGGUUUCGGGAUCCUGUACCUGUUAUUCCUUGGCUUGGAAAAAUUUAUGACGCAAGCCAAGAAGGCCCCACCUGUGUUCAGUUUCAUGGGAACUUACGCCUUGUAAUAGGAGUGGAAGACUGCCUCACAUUGAACGUUUAUACACACGAUCUGAAUUUUACAGAUAGCGGCAGGCCAGUAAUGGUAUGGAUUCCGGGUGGGGCCUGGUAUAAGGGUAGCGGUAAUGGUGUAACGAAUUUCUGGGGACCUGGCUACUUUCUUGAUCGGAAUGUAGUUCUCGUUUCGAUUAACUACCGACUUGGCCCUCUAGGUUUUCUAAGUACGGAAGAUAGUGAAGCUCCUGGAAAUUAUGGACUCUUAGACCAGUCCAUGGCUUUACGAUGGAUACGUGACAACAUUCGCUAUUUUGGUGGUAACCCUGACUCUGUUACAAUUUUUGGCUGCAGUGCUGGAGCUGCCAGCGUCCAUUACCAUUUAUUAUCACCCCAUUCGAAGGGACUGUUUCAUCGAGCCAUCGCCCAGUCAGGCUCGUCGCUCAAUUCUUGGGCGCUAGAAAAAUCUGUGGGAUCCUAUACUAGAAGACUGGGACAACAUUUCAAUUGUCCACAUUCAAACUCAAGUGAGAUGGUAGAGUGUUUACGAACAAAACCAGCGAGAGAAAUUGUCGGAUUCCGGAGGAAAAUUGAGAUUAUGAUCGAAUACCCCAUUGCAUUUGGUCCUCGGGUAGAUGUUGAGAGGAAAUUACCAUUUCUUCCAGAUGACCCACGAAACCUUAUCAAGCAUAAGCGAAUCAACUCAGUACCUCUAAUUACGGGACUUAAUAGUAAUGAGGGCGCUUUGAUUGUACUUAUGCUCCUUUCCAAUAACCGUGAAUUGCUGAGGAAAUUCAACAAAGAUCCUGUUAAAUAUCUCCGCCUCGUUGUGAAUGCGGAUCACGUAAACGAAAAAAUUGUUCAGCAAAUAUCUAAUCGCUAUUUUGCUCUAGACAAGCCAUUCCAUCCAAAUCAGCUGCCUAAACUAGUUGAGAUAUUUUCCGACUAUGCCUUCUUCCAAGACAUAGAUGAAUCAGUUCAAUUGUUGGCAAAGUUCAGCGACCAGCCAACCUAUUAUUAUUUAUACAACCAUCGCAGUCAACUGUCUUUACAAAAUGUUUUGGGAGUAUCUUCUAGCACAGAUUUGAGCGGCAGUCACGUGGACGAACUUUUCCUUAUGUUUUCCCACUUGGCGCUUCCACGCUUGCGAUCUCCUCGUGAUGUUAAGGUGUCAAAUAUGUUACUCGAUUUAUGGACAACGUUUGCAAAAAUUGGGAUACCGCGAAGUGACCUCUUGUCUCCUGUGUGGCUGCCUACUAAAGAAGAAGAGCCAAGAUAUCUUAGGAUAGAAGCCGAGCACCCAUCCCUGGUGAAUGAAUCUAUGCCAUUCCACGAACGCAUACAAUAUUGGAAGCGAAAGCUUAGGAAAUAAUAUCAAGGAUUCGUUAUCAAGAGAAUCCAGGCAAAUUAACGGAAUUUCAACUUCUGGUUUUAAAAUGCCGAAUAACUCCUUAUUUGUAAGUCUGUCACACACAUCAACAGUACAGGCUGAGGGCUGACCCUACGAGCAACGACAGUUUUAGCUACAAAUGCUUAGCGCCUCGUCUAGCAACUAGUAGUUGAUAUAUUCUAGGUUUUAAAUUAAAAAUUGGAAUCAACUGUCUAAGGCGGAAAAACUAGAUGUCGUUACCCAAUUUGGGUUGGACUUCUUUAGAUGACUCUUGUAUCGUAAAUAUUUUCCUGCUUCUUGGAACAAGGGACAUCAACCAAUUGUCAUUGGAAAGAUAUGUUUAAGCAGGAAAACCCUAAUGCUGGAGGAUGAAACAUUUGUUUCUCGUUACUAGUUUUGUAAAACAAAUGUGGAGAUUGAUUCCAAAUCUUCAGCUUCCCAGGCAGACACCCAUCUACAAAGCCAUGGGUGAUAAAUGAUGUUCACAGCGGACACGACUGUGUUGUAAAUUUGUAUCACUUUUACAAAGCCAAACAGAUCACAUGUCUACUGUGAAAGAGAUCAUGUGUCUCAACGAAAAUGGCUCUCUCUGUUUGCGACAUCAGACCUCCUCACUGUGUCAUUCUGAUGCAUAGCUCUUGAAAUCAAGUUAAACAUUUUGAAACAUCUCAGGUCAAAGCUGAAGUUCUAGAGGUAUUAGAAAAGUCAUCGCCUUUUGGUUAGUUUCUUCGCCAUCUGAUCAUCAAUUGGAGUGAUUUUCACUUUCUCGACGUCAUUGCUCAAAAAACUUUUAUGCAUUAUUUUUAUCUCGAGGUUAUAUCGAUCCGCAAAGCAAGUCAUCCGCAUCCAAACAGAUCAAAUUCAACAGGUAUUCCGCCUCGUCCGGCAAUUUACCAUCCAGCAACACACCCAUCAACAUUAUGUAUUAAAGAGGAAAGUAAUUGACCAAAUGCCGACUCGACUAUUUCCAUGCAAGAUUAAUGUUAAAAUCCAAGGAGAUCCGGCGAGGAGGAUGUAACGGACUAUGUCAUGUCAAACCAUUAGCUGAAUACAAUGAAUACUAUCAGUUCUCCAGAACGAGAGGCCAACAUAGGUUAAUAAUCAUACUAAAUCAAAAGAGGUCCAUACUUGAACGAGAUUUUAAAACGAUAACAGCUGGAAGUACAUGUGGAAAUUUCAAAAAACGCUUCCUGCACCUUUAGUCGCUGGUUCAUCUCGAAGAUAAAAUAUAAAUUGUUUUAUAAAUUGAA